GGGGCGGCGAGGGGGCCCCGGAGGCUCGGGCCCCCACAACGGACGUUCCGCGGGGCUCGCCCAGCCCGGACCCCAGCGCGACGCCGAGCCCCGAGACCCCCAUCCCCAGCAGGGUGUCCCAGCUGGCGGCCCCUUCCCGCAGGGGAAGGGCGUGACAGUUCCGCGUGGCGGGGCGAGCUCUGAGCCGUGUGCCGGCGUCGCGCCUCGCUUCGAGGGUGAGGAUCCUCACAGGGAGGUCGACGAAGGUGCUUUGGUGACUGAAAUAUGUUUGGACACGGAAGCUGGACUAGGUGGACCCUGGAACUGGGCAUCAAAGCUGGUUGUACUCUAUGGACCUGUUAGAAUACGGAAGAGGGCAUCCACAUCAAUUAAAUAUAUUAUUUCUCUCCCAGAGCUUUACUGUUUCAUCAGCUUGCAGCAACUAAAGAAUAUAUUCUUGAGAUAAAAAGUAACAAAGCAUUUGCAGAGAAAGAAAUGCAGAGGUUACAAAAUCCACCAGCAGUCAAGAACCACACUCUGGCAGGGGCACAGCAAGGACUGAGCCUGAGAGUAGUUCACGGGAUGUUCACAUUUCUGUAGACAAAGUAACACUAACCACUGUGCCAUCUUUGGAAAGUCAGUGCAAAAGAGACAUGCUGAGACAUACAUCGUAUUGUCUUCACCAAGUAAGUUGGACAGCUUCCAAAUAAAGCUUCAGAAGGAGGAUUGAGCUCUGCGCUCCUCAGGCUGCUGGGAGUGCCUGGAGCCUUUCACUGGAGCGAAAGCAGUGGGAGGUGGUCUCCUAGCCUGCAGGAGACGUGCCACUGUUGAGAAACUGUCACCAUAAGAAGAUGUCACCAGGGUGUGCAGCAACACAAGAAAAAAUGUUUUUAAGGGAGAUUGUACAUUCGACCAGGUUACACAGAGAGGUAUUCAGAAACCUACUGUACACAGUCCUGGGCAGCCUCCUUUUUCUGACCCUACUCUGAACAGUGGGGUUGGAGCAGAUGAUUGCAGGUGUCCCAGCAAACCUCCACAAUACUGUGAAUCUGUGGUUCCAUUGACAGAAAAGGCAAAGCCUUUUUUUCCCUUUUUCUUCUUUUUCUUUUCAUCUUCUUUUUUAAAAUUCGGGUUUCUGCUGGUAUAAUUUCUGCUGGAACGUUCUCCUUCUUCUAUUUCUUCAGUUACUUUCUGUCUAAAAUAUGUUCCUUACCGUAGAUCCUUCAAAUGAUAAUCCUCAUUUAUAAAACAGAAAUAUAAUCUCGACUACUUUCCAAUAUGGGACCAAGCGGUGUGUUUUCAGUAUUAUCAAAGGUGUAAAAUGGGUCAGUCUAGUACUGCUUUCUGAAUAUAAUUCCAGCAUAAGAAAUAUGUUGCUCAAGAACAUGGUUCUCACACAUCACAGACCAUGUCAUCUUGUAAUAUUGAUCACACUGUUUCCUGAGGCACCCUAUUUAAAGUACCAUCACUGUUAAAACAAAUGUGAAUUUCAUUCACUUGUCUCAAACCAGACAUUUUUUAAAGCCUACUAGCAAUUAUUUAAUAACCUUAUUAAUUAAAUCUUAUUUCUUGAUACCGUGUGGCUGAGCACGUCAGCUCAGGAAUUCUUUUCAUGAUACCCUCCAGCCUGUGCUGCCGUUUUCCUUCCUACCAGAUGAGCUGACAGGACAAAUUCACUCCAGAACAGAGGGAGCCGCAAUUGAUUUUUUUUUGUUGUUUAACUUGCCACAGGAUACAAUGCAAUGUUUAUACUGGAUUUAUGUUUUAUGCUGGCCUAGGGAGGACACAAUACAUGAUCCAGCAUAAAGUCCCUGGAGAGAAGAUACCCUCCAAAAUGCUUUGAGUGAAUUAGAGCAAGGGAGUUGAUACUAGCUCGGCUUUGUAUGUCAUAUGGAUGUAGCUUUAUUAAAUAGAUACUUACAGCAGCUUUACUGUGUCACCGGACCACGUCUUAGUCAGGCUCGCUCUUAUUUGUUCUCUUUGUCCAAAUGAAUCCUGCAAACCCUGCUGCCCGCUGUGUUUGUUUUAAUGGAAAGUGACAGAAACCGGUCUUUUUUUCAGGUCGCCUCUGGCACUUUCACAGGGCAGAGAAAGUAAGCUUCAGACACUUUAGGUGAAAAAGGGUCUUGAUCUCUCUGUUUCAGUGAAAGUUGUAAGCAGUCAAUUAUCAUGUAGAUGUUCGCUGUUAGCAUUAACACCUCCUUUUGAAUCUCUCUUCUGUUCUCCAAGUUAGGCAUGGGCUUCAAAAGCCUGGAAGGCUUAUCUCCGACCUGCUCCCUUGCUCCUGCCAAGGGCCCCGUGUCCCCGCCGCAGACGGGCAGGGGCCUUCAGUGGCCCCUGUUUGCAGCGCUGGGAGCCGGCAUGGGAGACCUGGCGUAGGGAACGCGGAGGUGCCACGUCACCUCACAUGCGCUGAAUUCCUUUACUAAACUGAUAUCUUGCCCCGACUUACACCUGCUAGAAUUCCACCCACAUUUCUUUUAGUUGUAUCAUUUUCUAUUCCUUAAAAGUAUUUUUAAUGUUAUUCAAUGCAGAUCCAGUUCAAACCCCUCAACUGUGACUUAUAAAAAUUUCCCAAAAUAUUCUAAUAAUUUAUAGUUCUGUAACACUUGGUCGAUAGCAUUCUUUAUAAUCCUUUUAAAAUUCGUGUGAUUUCA